GGCGAAGGGGGCUAGCGUUGUUCGGAAUUACUGGGCGUAAAGCGCGUGUAGGCGGUUGUCCAAGUUGGAUGUGAAAGCCUUGAGCUCAACUCAAGAAAUGCAUUCAGGACUGGAUGACUAGAGGACCGGAGAGGAUAGUGGAAUUCCCAGUGUAGUGGUGAAAUACGUAGAGAUUGAGAAGAACACCAGUGGCGAAGGCGGCUAUCUGGGUAGAUACUGA
rnacentral:rRNA from 1 species